rnacentral:rRNA from 1 species
UACAGAGGGUGCAAGGGUUCAUCGGAAUUACUGGGCGUAAAGCGCGCGUAGGCGGUCGGGUCAGUCGGUUGUGAAAUCCCCGGGCUUAACCUGGGAAUUGCAGUCGAUACUGCCCGGCUAGAGUGUGGAAGAGGGAAGCGGAAUUUCCGGUGUAGCGGUGAAAUGCGUAGAUAUCGGAAGGAACACCAGUGGCGAAGGCGGCUUCCUGGUCCAACACUGACGCUGAGGCGCGAGAGCGUGGGUAGCGAACAGG